rnacentral:rRNA from 1 species
UACGUAGGGUGCGAGCGUUGUCCGGAUUUAUUGGGCGUAAAGAGCUCGUAGGCGGUUUGUCGCGUCGGCCGUGAAAUCUCCACGCUUAACGUGGAGCGUGCGGUCGAUACGGGCAGACUUGAGUUCGGUAGGGGAGAUCGGAAUUCCUGGUGUAGCGGUGAAAUGCGCAGAUAUCAGGAGGAACACCGGUGGCGAAGGCGGGUCUCUGGGCCGAUACUGACGCUGAGGAGCGAAAGCGUGGGGAGCAAACAGG